UACGUAGGCAGCGAGCGUCGUUCGGAGUUACUGGGCGUAAAGGGUGUGUAGGCGGUUGUUUAAGUUUGGUGUGAAAUCUCCCGGCUCAACUGGGAGGGUGCGCCGAAUACUGAAUGACUAGAGUGCGGGAGAGGUGAGUGGAAUUCCUGGUGUAGCGGUGAAAUGCGUAGAUAUCAGGAGGAACACCGGUGGUGUAGACGGCUCACUGGACCGUAACUGACGCUGAGACACGAAAGCGUGGGUAGCAAACAGG
rnacentral:rRNA from 1 species